ACUGAUAAUUCGCUACUUUUUUUCUCCACAAAAAAGAAAUGAAAGAGAGUUUUGUCUGAUCGUUAGUGUUAAUCAUUAAUCUCAAAAACUCGAAUUGUUAAAAAAAUAUAACUGAUUAAUUCACUUAGAGCACAUAAAUACAACACUCACAAGUUUCGAUUGUGACUCGACCUAAUCUGACCUCCUGUCACAUACACAAUACUGGAUGAAUUCUGAAAACUCAAUUUAAUUGGUUUCAUUUCUAUCAUAUUAAGUACUUUUUAUAUAGAAAUUGUUUGGUUCUCGACCGAGUAUAUAUAUAUAUAUAUAAUUUCUAGAAAAAUGAAUUUAGUAAAAAACUUCUUCUCCAAUUUUUCGUCUUUUUAGUUUUUUUUUUUUUGAGAGAUAGGUAGCAUGCUAUCCGCUUCGUUUAUUUAUUUAGAAAUAAAUUUAGCUGGAAAUGUGAAUCAACUAGAAUUCGAACUUGGAACUUCGAGUAUCAAUCACCAAGCCCUUUGCCACUUGCUCUAGGGACGGUUAGUAGUUAAAAGAAAAUUUUGUCUUUUUGAAAUUUUUUUUUUUUCAGAUUUCAUGAAAAAUUAGAGUUUU
rnacentral:lncRNA from 1 species